rnacentral:lncRNA from 1 species
GGUUCAAAGGCCACAUUAGAAAUGAACACCUAAUUAAUUGGAUUUGGAAAAACCUGAGAAAUCAAACACACUGCAUGACCGGGUGUGUGAUCAGCCCCCUCCUUACUACUUAAAUCAAACACACUGCAUGACCGGGUGUGUGAUCAGCCCCCUCCUUACUACUUAAAUCAAACACACUGCAUGACCGGGUGUGGGAUCAGCCCCCUCCUUACUACUUAAAUCAAACACACUCCAUGACCGGGUGUGGGAUCAGCCCCCUCCUUACUACUUAAAUCAAACACACUGCAUGACCGGGUGUGUGAUCAGCCCCCUCCUUACUACUUAAAUCAAACACACUGCAUGACCGGGUGUGUGAUCAGCCCCCUCCUUACUACUUAAAUCAAAGACACUGCAUGACCGGGUGUGUGAUCAGUCCCCUCCUUACUACUUAAAUCAAACACACUGCAUGACCAGGUGUGUGAUCAGUCCCCUCCUU